rnacentral:rRNA from 1 species
AACGAACGCUGGCGGCAUGCCUAACACAUGCAAGUCGAACGAAGGCUUCGGCCUUAGUGGCGCACGGGUGCGUAACGCGUGGGAAUCUGCCCUUUGGUUCGGAAUAACAGCUGGAAACGGCUGCUAAUACCGGAUGAUGACGAAAGUCCAAAGAUUUAUCGCCAGAGGAUGAGCCCGCGUUGGAUUAGGUAGUUGGUGGGGUAAAGGCCUACCAAGCCGACGAUCCACAGCUGGUCUGAGAGGCUGAUCAGCCACACUGGGACUGAGACACGGCCCAGACUCCUACGGGAGGCAGCAGUGGGGAAUAUUGGACAAUGGGCGCAAGCCUGAACCAGCAAUGCCGCGUGAGUGAUGAAGGCCCUAGGGUAGUAAAGCUCUUUUACCCGGGAAGAUAAUGACUGUACCGAGAGAAUAAGCCCCGGCUAACUCCGUG